UUUCAUUUUUGGGUUCAGGAAGAAUUAGUUGGUGCCUGGAUAAGGGAUAAAUACUGUUUGGUUUGGUCUUGGAGCACCUUGAAAGAAGCAGUUUCUCCAGUUUAAACACAUGCAUCCAUUUUACCAUCACAAACUUUGUCAGCUUGAGGAGAUGCAGCCUGGAAGGAAGUGGGAGGUGCAGCUGCAGAGGGACAGGAAACUGCUGGGUGGGAAUCUGAAGUGAUGAACUAGUUGCAGACAGACUGAUGGCACAGCAGCGCCAUUUACUGUAAAUAACUUUGAUGGACUGUCAUCAAUGAUGCAGGUGUGAGGCAAGUCAGGAAAAGAGGUUGAAAGAAUGUGGGGUAUACUGUGAGGCAAAUGCAUUCUUAUGAUGAUGCAUCUCAACAGUUGUGAAACACUGAAAUCCUUGGGCAGGACACUGUAAGUGUAAAAGAUAAGUCAGACAUAAAACCUUUCAGAGCACUGGAGCAAGAGAUGAGACAAGGAACAAGCAGGCCGGAGAAAGACAUCUGUCUGUCUGCAUUCUGGAGAAACCAGUGAGGGGCAGCAGGUUUUCACAUGGAAAAUAUUACUGUCUUUCAUGUUUAAGGAAAUAUGGAGCUUUUUACAACUUUAUUGGAUAUAGAAGCUCUGAGGUGAAGUUGACCAAAAUAUAUUGAGUUCCAUCUUCUGAUUCCUGAAUUUGGGAUGUAAUUGAUUACUGUCUGUCUCAGGAGCUGUGUGUAUACAGAUCACCCACUGUUGACCAAACUGACUAUCAUAAUUCCAUGGAACUGCAUGUAGGUGGAGCUCUGUAACCUCUCUCUUUACAAAACUUACAGCAGAAAACAUCUGUCCAUAAACAUGUCAAUAAGUGGAAUAUAUAGAAAAGGCAACACAGAAGAAUUUUUUCUAAUAAAGUGAGAUACUGG